GUUAUUGUAGCUUAUUUAAAGCGUAGUAUUGAAAAUACUAAAACGGGCCCAACGCCCCAAAAACA
rnacentral:tRNA from 1 species